rnacentral:rRNA from 1 species
AGCCAUCAUUYAGAAGAAAGCGUAAUAUCAUCACUGGUCGAGUCGGCCUGCGCGGAAGAUGUAACGGGGCUAAACCAUGCACCGAAGCUGCGGCAGCGAACGUAUCACCCAAGACAACUUUACGGAGUUGACGAUUGACGGAGCGAAGCGACGUCAAAGCGUUCAUUAAAGUCGAGUUGGCUUAGGGAUACGUUCGUUGGGUAGGGGAGCGUUCUGUAAGCCUGUGAAGGUGUGUCGUGAGGCAUGCUGGAGGUAUCAGAAGUGCGAAUGCUGACAUAAGUAACGAUAAAGCGGGUGAAAAGCCCGCUCGCCGGAAGACCAAGGGUUCCUGUCCAACGUUAAUCGGGGCAGGGUGAG